rnacentral:rRNA from 1 species
UCUGGCGCCAUAGGAUGUGGCUGCGGCCGAUUAGGUAGACGGUGGGGUAACGGCCCACCGUGCCAGUAAUCGGUACGGGUGAUGAGAGUCAGAGCCCGGGAGACGGUAUCUGAGACAAGAUACCGGGCCCUACGGGGCGCAGCAGGCGCGAAACCUUUACACUGCACGACAGUGCGAUAGGGGGACUCCGAGUGCGAGGGCAUACAGUCCUCGCUUUUGUGCACCGUAAGGUGGUGCAGGAACAAGUGCUGGGCAAGACCGGUGCCAGCCGCCGCGGUAAUACCGGCAGCACGAGUGAUGGCCGAUAUUAUUGGGCCUAAAGCGUUCGUAGCCGGCCAGACAAGUCUGUUGGGAAAUCCACGCGCCCAACGCGUGGGCGUCCAGCGGAAACUGUCUGGCUUGGGGCCGGAAGACUCGAGGGGUACGUCCGGGGUAGGAGUGAAAUCCCGUAAUCCUGGACGGACCACCGGUGGCGAAAGCGCCUCGAGAGCACGGACCCGACGGUGAGGAACGAAAGCCAGGGUCUCGAACCGGAUAGAUACCCGGGUAGUCCUGGCCGUAAACGAGCCCGCUAGGUAUGGCGCAGGCUACGAGCCUGCGCUAUGCCGCUAGGGAAG